CCUAAUUAAUUUCUAAUUAGAAACUAAUUAACAAAACACAAAAACAUGAAAAGCCAAUCCAGGGCAUGUGGCAACGUAGGGCUUGGGGAAGGGAAAACCCAAUCCACCUGAGGGAAGAGGAUAUGCAUUCAAACUCUCAGAUGCUCAAUAGUCACGUGUCUCACAUGUUCAGGUGUUAAUUCAAAAAAAGAAAAUCCCUCCUCGCCUGAGCAGCUCCCUCCUUCGCCGCACCGGGAAUCUCCUCCGGCGGCGGCGGACGAAACGCAAUAAAAACCAAAUCAAUCUUUUAGUUUCAUACUCCUCUACAAGAUUCUAGCCUCAAUUUUAUCUGACUCUUUUCGAACCCCCUAAACUGACUCAAAUUUCCGAAGAACUCUAAACCUAAGAUUCGAAAUUAAAUCCUAAUCUUGGGGAAUCAAAGUCCAAUAGGUUAGGACUUUGAUUCCUCUAACCUCAUGCUACAUUCUGGUAAUCGAAUCGAAGUGAAACAAGGUGAAAUUUAUAACCUACCUGCCGGAGAAGAUGACGGGAACGGCGGAGAUUGAAUGCCAAUGUUAUGGAAAAUUGAAUGCGUGUUAGUCUGCUUGAUGUAAUUGCACAGUUGGAUGUUUGUCAUGGUAUAUGCUUGUUUAUGUGUUUGUGAAAUGGCCUAUUGCAGGGUGGUUGUUGCAGGACCUGCUGCUGAUGGUGUAGGGGAGCCUUACUUGAUUUGCUGUUCGAAUCAUGGACGCCUUAUCGAGAAAUUUUCUUGGUCUAGUUUGACAGAAAGUUUGAUCUUGUAGAUAGAAAGUGGUGGCUGGGGAGAAAAGUAAGAUAUGAGAAAGUGGUGAAUGCUUUAGGAUUAUGGAGCGGUUCACAUGGUGAUAUUAAGGAAAUGGUUUGGAGGUUUGGAUUAGAAAAGGGUGUUUUUAUGAACAUGAGAAAAUGGGAGAAAGUGAAAGAAAGUUUAGAGUACUCUUCAUAGUGUGGAAAUUGUUUGAUUGAAUGUGAUUUUAUAAAUUGGUUUGAAUUUGGAUGAAUUUGGUUUAAUGAAAUGGAUUUGGUUUUGGUUUGAAAUUGUAAUGAACUUGGUUUUGAUUUAUAUUUGGAAAUUGAAUGGUUGUAAUAGUUGUAAUUUUUGAAUGGAAAUUGUAUUAGUUUGAACAUUGAAUGAAGAUGAAUGUAUAAUUGGUUUAUGGA